CCUACGGGAGGCUGCAGUGAGGAAUAUUGGUCAAUGGGCGUAAGCCUGAACCAGCCAAGUCGCGUGAGGGUUGAAGGUUCUAUGGAUCGUAAACCUCUUUUAUAAGGGAAUAAAGUGCGGGACGUGUCCCGUUUUGUAUGUACCUUAUGAAUAAGGAUCGGCUAACUCCGUGCCAGCAGCCGCGGUAAUACGGGGGAUCCGAGCGUUAUCCGGUUUUAUUGGGUUUAAGGGGUGCGUAGGCGGCCUUUUAAGUCAGCGGGGAAAGUCUGUGGCUCAACCAUAGAAUUGCCGUUGAUACUGGGAGGCUUGAGUAUGUUUGAGGCAGGCGGAAUGCGUGGUGUAGCGGUGAAAUGCUUAGAUAUCACACAGAACCCCGAUUGCGAAGGCAGCCUGCCAAGCCAUGACUGACGCUGAUGCACGAAAGCGUGGGGAUCAAACAGGAUUAGAUACCCGAAUAGUC
rnacentral:rRNA from 1 species